UUUCUCUCUCCAAAGAGAAAUGUUACAUAACCCGAGCCAAGUUGACAACAGAUAUUGUCAGAGAAACCAAGGCAAUGCAGGAGGCGAAGAGAUGAACUCAUUUCCUUUACAAAUAAUCUUCUGACAGGUACAAAAUGAAUCAUUAACAAGCUGAACGUCCAGUUGAAGAGCAUGUGGGCACAUCUCACUGAGAUAAUACGACAAGAUUCCAUUUUCAUUCAAAGAUUGAGUUAAAAGUAACUGACCAAGGUUUUGGUGUUUGGUUAAAUGAAAGAUCACUCUGUUCUCUUACACAAUCACUUCAAUUGAUAUGCAAUAUAUAUUUAGACUCUGCUUGUAAAUGUCUCCUUCCUUCAAAUCUCUGUGUGUCUCCAUUCGGGAACAAAACAGAACACUCGACAGGCCGGGCCUCCUUCCUCGUUUCCAUGUCAGUCUGUCAGUAGGUCUUGUGCAGACUUGCCCUCGUUUUGAACCAAUCACACUCUGCUGGCCCACAGCGGCGGUCCAAUGAGCAGCGCGGCAUGGCGGGGGCUUGGAGGAGAGGGCGGAUCUGAGCGCUCAGCUCCAUGUAUGUAUGAUGUAAUGAGGCGUGAUUUACAGGACAGUCAAAAUUUCCCAACACUCCCUGGGAAACAUGAUCACUUCACUUGGAGCGGCUUGAACCGCCAAAAAGGAACAAAAGCUCCAAACUCCAGAGGAUUUUAAAGAUAUAUUUUGGAAUCAACUCUUUGUGUUUCAAAACUUUAACUAGAUAUGAAGCUGUGUGUAUAAAAGGUUCGGGCCCGCAGCGUCCACAUGCUGUCACUGCUCAGGGACACGGACCAGAUGCAGCAGGGACUGAACCUAAGUAACCUCGUGGGCCUCAAUGUUACACUGCGGUUGGGACCAUCUGCCCCAUGGGGCCCAGCGAAGGGGCAACGACUGCGAGGGCCAGACUUUCCCGACUCCAGCAGCUGCCCUGCAGGCGAUAACAGAAGUCACAACAUGUCUCACAUGAUUCCACCCCCUGGUAUUCGGCUCAGUUUCUUCCAUGGACGAGGCUUCAUACCGUCUCGAACGGCAACGUCAGACUCUGGAAAGACACAGAAAAGCCGUUGCGUCUGUGUUUUAGUUGUGCGUAAAACCGUCAAAUCUAGAGUAGAAGGAUCUUUGCUCUCAUAAAGCACCGGAGCCGAGUUAUCUCUGUGGUUCGACACGGUUUAAUUCUGUGUAGUCAACUGGUUCAUGUAGCAAAAAUAAUAAUUUCACGAUUUCCUUCUGAGAUAUAUAAAGCAGCUUAACUGUGUCUCUGUCAUUGGUUCCCUCUAGUGGAUUAGAUAAAUAUAAAACCACCACACUCACAUCACAGCAGGAGUGUAGGAGUCUUGCUUUGCUGUGCCACAGGUUGCUACACAAUCCCAAGAAAACAAGCCAUAUUCCCAAUCCCACGAAUAACAGUUGGUCAGCUGCUCUUUGCAUCUAAUGCCGAGUCUUUUUUCUCCAAACACGCUUGGUGACAUUUGCUGUGCAGACUUUUGAUGCCGACUUACAUGAUGAGGUCGUAGGUCAGGUUUCCUCUUGAUGCGUCUUGCAUUUGGACCAUGAUUGUGAUGUACAGUAAACGCUGCAGUGGGGCAGGUCACCUCUCACUCCUGUCAGCUGAACCUUCCUGCAGCUUCCCUGCAGUCACAUGGACAUUUAAGAUUAGCUUUUUCUGUCCAGCAGAUUUAGGUUUUCUUGGUUUUCCAGAUCUAAUCUUAACUUCCACAGUUGCCCCUGUAACUGAAAUCUCUUAAUGAGAUUUCACGACAGUGUAAAUUUAAAGCUGGAAGUACCAUGUUCUCCUAUUAUAGCCUCCCCUGCUUUGUCGGAGUUAAUUAGCUUAACUUCAGUAGCUUAACACAGUUGCUCAAAGGAGCCCGUGGUUGUUGAACGUAACCACAGGGUUUAAAAAAGGUUGAAUCUGCUCUGGAAAUGUCACCAGCUGACAAUUAUCUCAUGACCACCAAACUUAAAUCUCCUUGAUCAUGUAGAAGGAUGUAGAAACCUGUGCACGUGCCACAAUUACUGCCCCUCCCUCUUUUUUUUCAAGUUGAUGAAAUCAUUUUUUGAUAAGAUUUGAUUGAUGAAAAUUGGGAGCAGAUAGCAGUGAGUUUCUUCUGCUUUUCUCCUCGGGUACAGCAGAUUCCCACGUCACAUUUGAUCUCUAAGGAACAAAUCUGUGAAGUUACUUAUUCGGGCUAAAGGGAAAUUUUGAAAAAAUGUGUGGAGUCACACAAAUGGACAAAACAGAGAGACAAAACUAUGAUUCACAAUCAUGCUUUAUUAUUGUUGAUUUCUUAUAAAAGAAUCAAAUAAAAGGAUCUCACACGCUUCUCUGUCUUUCAGUCUUGCGGUAUCCCCGUUUUCUUUAACUAAACUAUACUUUUCUUUACACUUUAAGUCUUUUCAUCUUAAAUAUCUUUUAUUAGUUUGUGACUUCAAACCAAAACUUCAUUGAUUGUCAACACAAAAUCUAUCUUAGCACCAGUACAAUAAAACUGUACUCUUGCUGUUUUGAAAUACUGUUUUUAGAAUGAGGGAGGAAAAUCUCAGAAUAAAGGGAUCCUAAUAAGUACAUUUCAAAAUGAAGCACCAACCAUACAAAGCAACUUUUUCAUAGAUAGGCCUGUCAGAUACACAAGAGGUCAAAUAUAUUAAUGACUAUUAAAUUAAGCACAACAAACAGUGUAAAGAAAACACUGCAACACAAAGCACUCUGGGAUCUGGAAACACCGUGUCGGGACGUGGGAGACGAUCGUGGCUGCGGUUCGGAGGGCGUCUCAGGAGCAGGUUUGGACUCCACAGAUGGUCCAACUGUUCCUCUGAGCGAGAUCCACAGGAUUCUGUAUCGGUUCCGGGGGAGUGGAGAACAAUACAACUGUUUCUGUCCGGUUCUGUAAACAAACUCAAUCUCGAGGCCCCGAAAAACAUUAUUUCACACCGAGAGCAGGGACUGGGACGGGACGGCUUACCCAGGUUUACUUGAGGAGCAAAAAGGAACAACCUAAGCUCUUAGGUGCAUCCAGAAAUGACAUCUGGAGGGUGAUGAUGUAAAAAAUGAAACAGAAAGAGUAAAUGGAAAAUGAUGAUUAUGAUCGUGUAUAUUAUGUGCCGUGGUCUCCAGCUCUCGCAGGUUGACAGAGGAACUGUCUCUGCCAGUCGCCUCCCGAACUUCAGUGUCUUAGCUUUGCACAAGAGUUCGCCGAGAUAAAAGUCCUGGAUUAUCUCCCAUCGAAAAAAAUAUCGCUCUCCCCUCAGUCACAAACUCAAAAACAAAAAGUUGAACAUAAUUCGGUCCUUGCCUCAAGAAUCCGCUCAUAUAACCAAAUGUGUUUCCCCUGAUGGCAAGAUAUACAUAUACACUACCAUGUACAUACAUAAUCAAUAAAAAAAGGUUUGCUCAAUAGUUCUCAUUUAUUCAAAUAUACUUAUAGAUAGGAACCUGAAAGCUGCUUUUCCUGCGCCGACCACUCCCGUGUGGAGGUCCUUGUGAUCACUUAAUCACCUGCUGUCUGAGGUCAAAGGUUAUCGGUGGAGUGUCAUUGCUGUAGCUGGAAUUAGAACCCAUGAUCCUCGUUGCAACGGACGGAGAGGUUUCCUUUGAGCAGGAAGUACUUGGGUUGAGACACUGGAAACUCUGUCUGCGUGAUGGAGGAGUGCGAUGCAGGAGAGGCUAUCGGCUGCGAGGCUUGCCUGUGUUUGUGAGCGUCUUAUCCUUCUCCUCCUCAUCCUCAUCGUCGUCUUCUUGUAAGAUGUGAAUGGACGAGCCCAGUAGUCUCUGGAGUUCUGGUACACAGCGAACCAGAUCCACGAGUCCCUCUUCUUCGUCCUCUUCCUGGUCUUUCUCCUCUUUGUUUAUGCCUCUGAAGGGUGAAGCUACAGCGGAGCUCACCUGGCUAACCGACACCUGCCUCCGGAGCUCAGCUCGUGACAGACUCACCACCUCCAGGUGCGGGUAGCGUGCCCGGAAGAUCCGCGCCGACAUUUUCAGACGCUUCAGGACGUCCGUCAGGAGGAACCAGUUGCAAAAGCUGCAAGAGAGAAAUGUCUAUUAGCCCAAGGCCAUUUAUCUUACAGUUUAACCAUAAACAUUAUCUUAAAAGUAAUAUGAAUAAAAAGAAAACACAAAUACAGCCAAAUAGAGAAUUUGAAUAAAGAAUAAAUAUUUUUUUUAGGUAAAAUGUAAAUAUAAAUAAACAUAUUUCUGCUUUGUUUAUUCUGUAAAAUAAGUUUUCAUAGCGACAAACAAACGGUAAGGAUAUCGAUACCAAUAUGUCUGAAAAGCUUGUAUCAGCAGAUAUCAUCAGCCAACUGACAUAUCACGAUGGGUUAUAUAAUAUUGUUUUUGCUGCUAGGAAAAAUUCGUUACUGCAGAGGACAAGCCCUUCAUGUAACCUCCUGUACAUAUUCAUUGAUCUGAGCUGUUAUUGUUUUUCAUGUUAGUUUUACUUUGAAAAAUAGGAAAAUCCAAUAAAUAUGUUGUUACCAAA